AACGAACGUUGGCGGCGCGCCUAACACUUGCAAGUCGCACGAGAAAGGGAGCAAUCCCCGGUACAGUGGCGCACGGGUGAGUAACACGUGGAUAACUUUCCCUCGAGCGGGGGAUAACCUUCCGAAAGGAGGGCUAAUACCGCAUAAGACCACGGCUGGUUCGCCAGCUGAGGUUAAAGCAGGCCUCUUCAUGAAAGCUUGCACUCGAGGAUGGGUCCGCGGCCCAUCAGCUAGUUGGUGGUGUAAUGGACCACCAAGGCUAAGACGGGUAGCUGGUCUGAGAGGAUGAUCAGUCACACUGGAAAUGAGACACGAUCAAGACUCCUACGGGAGGCAGCAGUGGGGAAUCUUGCGCAAUGGACGAAAGUCUGACGCAGCGACGCCGCGUGGGUGAUGAAGGCCUUCGGGUUGUAAAGCCCUGUGGGGAGGGACGAAUAAGUCUGACCUAAUACGUCAGGCGAUGACGGUACCUCCUUAGCAAGCACCGGCUAACUCUGUGCCAGCCGCCGCAGUAAUAC
rnacentral:rRNA from 1 species